GUUAUAUGGUCAAGUGAAGAAGCGCAUACGGUGGAUGCCUUGGCAGUCAGAGGCGAUGAAAGACGUGGUAGCCUGCGAAAAGCUUCGGGGAGUCGGCAAACAGACUUUGAUCCGGAGAUCUCUGAAUGGGGGAACCCACCUAGGAUAACCUAGGUAUCUUGUACUGAAUCCAUAGGUGCAAGAGGCGAACCAGGGGAACUGAAACAUCUAAGUACCCUGAGGAAAAGAAAUCAACCGAGAUUCCCUUAGUAGUGGCGAGCGAACGGGGAUUAGCCCUUAAGCUUCAUUGAUUUUAGCGGAACGCUCUGGAAAGUGCGGCCAUAGUGGGUGAUAGCCCCGUACGCGAAAGGAUCUUUGAAGUGAAAUCGAGUAGGACGGAGCACGAGAAACUUUGUCUGAACAUGGGGGGACCAUCCUCCAAGGCUAAAUACUACUGACUGACCGAUAGUGAACCAGUACCGUGAGGGAAAGGCGAAAAGAACCCCGGAGAGGGGAGUGAAAUAGAACCUGAAACCGUAUGCGUACAAGCAGUGGGAGCCUACUUGUUAGGUGACUGCGUACCUUUUGUAUAAUGGGUCAGCGACUUAUAUUCAGUGGCAAGCUUAACCGUAUAGGGUAGGCGUAGCGAAAGCGAGUCUUAAUAGGGCGUUUAGUCGCUGGGUAUAGACCCGAAACCGGGCGAUCUAUCCAUGAGCAGGUUGAAGGUUAGGUAACACUGACUGGAGGACCGAACCCACUCCCGUUGAAAAGGUAGGGGAUGACUUGUGGAUCGGAGUGAAAGGCUAAUCAAGCUCGGAGAUAGCUGGUUCUCCUCGAAAGCUAUUUAGGUAGCGCCUCAUGUAUCACUCUGGGGGGUAGAGCACUGUUUCGGCUAGGGGGUCAUCCCGACUUACCAAACCGAUGCAAACUCCGAAUACCCAGAAGUGCCGAGCAUGGGAGACACACGGCGGGUGCUAACGUCCGUCGUGAAAAGGGAAACAACCCAGACCGCCAGCUAAGGUCCCAAAGUUGUGGUUAAGUGGUAAACGAUGUGGGAAGGCUUAGACAGCUAGGAGGUUGGCUUAGAAGCAGCCAUCCUUUAAAGAAAGCGUAAUAGCUCACUAGUCGAGUCGGCCUGCGCGGAAGAUGUAACGGGGCUCAAACCACACACCGAAGCUGCGGGUGUCACGUAAGUGACGCGGUAGAGGAGCGUUCUGUAAGCCUGUGAAGGUGAGUUGAGAAGCUUGCUGGAGGUAUCAGAAGUGCGAAUGCUGACAUGAGUAACGACAAUGGGUGUGAAAAACACCCACGCCGAAAGACCAAGGGUUCCUGCGCAACGUUAAUCGACGCAGGGUUAGUCGGUUCCUAAGGCGAGGCUGAAAAGCGUAGUCGAUGGGAAACAGGUUAAUAUUCCUGUACUUCUGGUUACUGCGAUGGAGGGACGGAGAAGGCUAGGCCAGCUUGGCGUUGGUUGUCCAAGUUUAAGGUGGUAGGCUGAAAUCUUAGGUAAAUCCGGGGUUUCAAGGCCGAGAGCUGAUGACGAGUCGUCUUUUAGAUGACGAAGUGGUUGAUGCCAUGCUUCCAAGAAAAGCUUCUAAGCUUCAGGUAACCAGGAACCGUACCCCAAACCGACACAGGUGGUC
rnacentral:rRNA from 1 species